rnacentral:rRNA from 1 species
UUUGACCUCAGAUCAGGCAAGACUACCCGCUGAAUUUAAGCAUAUUAAUAAGCGGAGGAAAAGAAACUAACAAGGAUUCCCUCAGUAACGGCGAGUGAAGUGGGAACGGCUCAAGCUUGAAAUCUCUGUUGCUUGCAACAGCGAAUUGUAGUCUCGAGAAGCGUCUUCCCGGCGGAUCUUCCCUGCCUAAGUUGCUUGGAACAGCACAUCGGAGAGGGUGACAAUCCCGUUUGUGGCAGGGGAGACCGU